GGCGAGCUGGCGCAAUGGUAGCGUGCCAGUUUCCGGUGUAGGAUAUCGCUGGCGGUUCAGGGUUCGAGUCCCUGGCUCGUCG